rnacentral:tRNA from 1 species
AUUCUUUUAGUAUUAACAAGUACAUCUGACUUCCAAUCAGCUAGAUCUGGUACAACCCAGAAAAGAAUA